ensembl:lncRNA
AUGUCUACGCUCCUCCUCUCCUCUUUCUCUCCUUCUCUAUUCUGUCAUCUUCAUCUGCUGCUUCUCUGUCUCUGUCUGCCUCUCUGUCUCUGUCUGCCUCUCUGUCUCUGUCUGCCUCUCUGUCUCUGUCUGCCUCUCUGUCUCUGUCUGCCUCUCUGUCUCUGUCUGCCUCUCUGUCUCUGUCUGCCUCUCUGUCUCUGUCUGCCUCUCUGUCUCUGUCUGCCUCUCUGUCUCUGUCUGCCUCUCUGUCUCUGUCUGCCUCUCUGUCUCUGUCUGCCUCUCUGUCUCUGUCUGCCUCUCUGUCUCUGUCUGCCUCUCUGUCUCUGUCUGCCUCUCUGUCUCUGUCUGCCUCUGUCUCUGUCUGCCUCUGUCUGCCUCUGUCUGCCUCUGUCUGCCUCUCUGUCUCUGUCUGCCUCUGUCUCUGUCUGCCUCUCUGUCUCUGUCUGCCUCUCUGUCUCUGUCUGCCUCUCUGUCUCUGUCUGCCUCUCUGUCUGCCUCUCUGUCUGCCUCUCUGUCUCUGUCUGCCUCUCUGUCUCUGUCUCUGUCUGUCUGCCUCUCUGUCUCUGUCUGUCUGCCUCUCUGUCUCUGUCUGUCUGCCUCUCUGUCUCUGUCUGCCUCUCUGUCUCUGUCUCUGUCUGUCUGCCUCUCUGUCUCUGCCUGUCUCUCUCUCUCUGUCUGUCUGCCUGUCUCUCUGUCUCUGUCUGUCUGCCUGCCUCUCUGUCUCUGUCUGCCUCUCUGUCUCUGUCUGCCUCUCUGUCUCUGUCUGCCUCUCUGUCUCUGUCUGCCUCUGUCUCUGUCUGCCUCUGUCUGCCUCUGUCUGCCUCUGUCUGCCUCUCUGUCUCUGUCUGCCUCUGUCUCUGUCUGCCUCUCUGUCUCUGUCUGCCUCUCUGUCUCUGUCUGCCUCUCUGUCUGCCUCUCUGUCUGCCUCUCUGUCUCUGUCUGCCUCUCUGUCUCUGUCUCUGUCUGUCUGCCUCUCUGUCUCUGUCUGUCUGCCUCUCUGUCUCUGUCUGUCUGCCUCUCUGUCUCUGUCUGCCUCUCUGUCUCUGUCUCUGUCUGUCUGCCUCUCUGUCUCUGCCUGUCUCUCUCUCUCUGUCUGUCUGCCUGUCUCUCUGUCUCUGUCUGUCUGCCUGCCUCUCUGUCUCUGUCUGCCUGCCUCUCUGUCUCUGUCUGUCUGCCUCUCUGUCUCUGUCUGUCUGCCUCUCUGUCUCUGUCUGUCUGCCUCUCUGUCUCUGUCUGUCUGCCUCUCUGUCUCUGUCUGUCUGCCUGCCUCUCUGUCUCUGCCUGUCUCUCUCUCUCUGUCUGUCUGCCUGCCUCUCUGUCUCUGUCUGUCUGCCUGCCUCUCUGUCUCUGUCUGUCUGCCUGCCUCUCUGUCUCUGUCUGUCUGCCUGCCUCUCUGUCUCUGUCUGUCUGCCUGCCUCUCUGUCUGUCUGCCUGCCUCUCUGUCUCUGUCUGUCUGCCUGCCUCUCUGUCUCUGUCUGUCUGCCUCUCUGUCUCUGUCUGUCUGCCUCUCUGUCUCUGUCUGUCUGUCUGCCUCUCUGUCUCUGUCUGUCUGCCUGCCUCUCUGUCUCUGUCUGUCUGCCUGUCUCUCUGUCUCUGUCUGUCUGCCUGUCUCUCUGUCUCUGUCUGUCUGCCUGUCUCUCUGUCUCUGUCUGUCUGCCUCUGUCUGUCUGCCUCUGUCUGUCUGCCUCUGUCUGUCUGCCUCUCUGUCUCUGUCUGUCUGCCUGUCUCUCUGUCUGCCUCUCUGUCUCUCUACCUCUGUCUCUCUACCUCCUCUUCUCUUAG